AAGCGUUCAUUGCAGCAGGCUCCCAGGGCCGGGGUUGAGACAGGCUGCCUCAGACAGCCCUGGUAUUAAUGCGGCUAAUUACGUGGAUUGCUUCACUGGGAGAUGCAGAUAGGAUCGGGCUCCGGGAGCCUUUGUGGGAAGGUGCUGUGGGACCCAGCCCUCUGUGUGCUCAUCGAUGUGCUGUCUGGGAAAACUGAGCUGCCCCAGCCAGUUCCUGAGGUCGCUGGUCCCUCAGCAGCUCCACGUGACAGCCUGUGUCUCCAGCAGGAUCUUGGCGUGGCUGCAGAGGGAGAGAUGGGCCCUCUGGGGAGAGGUAGCUCCGGGCCAGCUAGAGUGGCUGCUGACAGAUGGCUUGAUAAUGAUCAAAAGGUGCACCUCCAAGGUCCUCAAAGUCCCGAAGACCUGUUAUUCAGAGAUUUGAGAUUUGCACAAACCCAGCUCAGCGGCAAGUCCUCGCGUAGCUUGGUCAGUCAAGCAGAGAGGAGCCAAAACUUUGGAAAGAAUCAUCUCAGAAAACCAGGUGCUGUGUCUCAUACCUAUGGAAAAAAUCAGUCUCCUAGUUGUUGUAAACACUCAUCAUGGGGAAGCAUUUGCUGUGUUUAUAUAUGUUAAAAGUUUUUUUUAUAGGAGUGCCUGGGUGGUUCAGUGGGUUUAGUCUUUGCCUUCGGCUCAGGUCAUGAUCCCAGUGUUCUGGGAUCGAGCCCCGCA
rnacentral:lncRNA from 1 species